rnacentral:lncRNA from 1 species
GCAUAUUGAAAAUGUUCCAUUACACAAAUAGGACGACCGGCUUUCGCUUGAGAUUCGAAGCGAUUCUGGAGGAUUUGCAGAACCCAGUUGCGUGCAUGAGUGUAGGAUUUCACACGCGAUGGGUGGAGGAUUUCUGCUGUGAGGUUACGCCGCAGAAGUCGCCAUGUUGGACCGUAAAAGGAAGAACUAAUAUUAUGCUGAUUACUAGUUAAAAAUUUUCUCGUAGCAACAGCUGGUGGGCGGUCCGCAAAAACUGCGCCGCCAUGUAUUAAAGCCUCAUGAGCAAGGGUGCGAUCUGCAACGAAGAUAGCAGGGCGAGUGCCAAUACGGAGGGUAACCAUGGGGCCAAACUUGGCAUGGAGGGAUCGAAGGAUUGGCUCUAUCUUGAAGGCGGACAUGCGGAGCCAUAGUAAGUGGCCGAUGAAAGGAAAGGACAGGGGACCUGGAGGUAGGUUUUUAGAGGUUAAGAAAUUGUUGAAGAUAGUUUUCAAGAACAGAGAGACGGAAAUGGAGACAAGGAUAAGGAACCAACUUUCCAUACUGAAAAAAAUGAAGUGAUGAGUUUAGCAGUGGAAUGGACUCAGAGUGCGCGUGUAUAUACAUAGGCUAGCAAAUUGACUGAGUCUAAUUGUGGAUGCUUUUUUCGUUUCUUGUAGAUAGAAGAAUACAUCGUCUACUUUUUUUAAAAUGUUUUUUUGGACAAAAGCAGCAAAGACUCAAAAUGGGUGGAAUUCAUCGCUAGCUAGCUUGUUUGUUUUUAUGUACUACGUAUUGUAUUACGUCCUCAAUCGUGGCAGAGAGUUAUUAAGUGUUAAUUAUAUUAUUAUUAUAUAAAAGAAAUAAAGGUUUCACCGUAGCUAUUUUAUUACUUAUACUCUCACGUAUAACAUGUGGAAUCUAAUUAGUGAAUUUUUAAAAAGCUCUUAAUUUCAUCCCUGAAAUUUUAUCUUGUACAAUUGAGUCAUUUUGAAUUCAAAUUAGCAUUCAAUUACAUAUUUGUUUAGGAGGAAAAGUUAAAUUGAAAGAUAAAGGACUUAAGUGAAAAUGACAAUAAAAUUGAUGAUGACUUUGAAUUUUUUUAAAAAGUUCAUUUUAUUUUCCUGUUUUUUUAAGCUUUUAGGUGGUAACAGCACUUUAAUUUUUAAAAAUUCAAUUUUUUAUAUUAAAUUUUAUUUUUUUAUUUUUUAUUUUUUUUGCGGUGGAGAGGGAGGGGAUUGCCGAAUUCCAAUGUAGAGAAAGUUUCUUGGAAAUGAUUUUGACCACUAAAAUAGUUAAUUUUUGUGUCAAAUAGUUCUAUAUGAUGAGAGAAGCUAAAAAUUAGUGUUUUUUUUUUUUCAUUUUGAAAAUGUCUAAAAAACAUAUCUGAUCUCAGAAAGAUUUUUUUAUUUCAGAUUGAUUAUGGAUGUUUUCUAGGUAUCAUGGAUAAAAAAAGAGCUUCGGAAUUCCAUUUUAAAUCCUUUUUCAAAUCAAACUAAGCUACAGUAAUCUUCACCUACGUGCGUCCACCCAUUUUAAUUUUGCACAUGAAAUUUUCAAUUAAGAGUUUCAGAUUUCAAAGCUGAUCGUUUCAUUAAAAAAAAUAAAAUUGUCUUCAGAUUAAUUCCAUUGUACUUGUUCCAAUCUAGAUUACUUUACUGUCUUUGUUAGUUAUUAUAUUUGUUUGCAUAUCUUGUCAUUCGAUUGUCUUAAAUUACUAGUUACAUACCAUGCCACGCAAUAUAUUGCGGGCUUACUUUCUAUUUUCGUAAAAAAAAUUAGAUCCAAACAAUAGCAGGAUUCAAGCUAUUUAGCUCCAGCAUAAUUAAUGACUCAAGUCUAUUUUGGAUUCUACAGCAUGCAAGGCUCAAGGAUAAUUGUUUCUUAACAUGUCCAAGCGCCACUUGUAUGAUGCGAGUGCCCAGGCCCCAGACAGACAUCCCAAGCACGAUGUGUGCGCAGGGGAUGUGCCUAGCCCCCUAGCAGGAACCCAAGUGCCACGUGUCUCCACGUGGUUUUUCUUCGAUAAUAAUAACAAUUUUUUAAAAUUAAUUAAUGAUGAUAAUAAUAAUACUAAUAGUAAUUUUUAAUUUUACCUUUUAAAUCAAAUCUUUGGUUGGUUUCAAUAUUAAGAAUAAUUGUUUUCUAAUUUAGUAAUUAUUUUACUAAUAAUAUUGAUUAUUAUAAAAAUAAUAAUAUUUAUAACACAAAAAAUAAUAUUUUUAAUAUUAAUACUUUUGAUUAUAGUAAAAAAAAAUAAUAUUCAUAACACAAAUAAUACUAUUUUUAAUUUCAAGAAUAUUUAGAACAUAAAUAAUAAUAUUUUUUACAUUAAAAAUUUGAAUUAUUAUAAAAAUAAUAAUAUUAGAACAAGAAUAAUAAUAUCUUUUUGAGAUGAAUACUUUGUAUUCUAAGAAAAAUAAUAAUAUUGACAACGCAAAUUAUAAUAUUUUUUCUAUUAAUACUUAGAAUUAUUGAAUAUUUUUAAUGAUACUACGCCGCAGGCUCACUUUUUAUUUUUAUAAAAAAUACAAUAAAAAUUUAUAAUAUAAAUAAUAAUAUUUUCUUUCAAAUUUAUUAAUUAUUUUAUUAAUAAUAUUAAUUAUAAUAAAAAUAAUAAUAAUGGUAAAACAAAUAAUAAUAUUUAAAAUCUUAGGACCCAUGAACAUCGAGUCUUGAUGAAGGACCCAAUAAAAUUGGAUCCUUACGCUAGACCCAUUGAUCAUGGGUCAUGACAUCCAACCCAUUCCCCUUGAGUCCGGAACCAUGACCCAAGCGCCACUUGUCUCUAAUAGGGAGCGAUCAUGGCUCACCCAGCGCAGCACAAACGCCACGUGUGCGCUAAGGAGUGCCCAACUCAUAGGCAGGAGCACAAACGGCACGUGUGCACUGGGAUGUGCCCAGCCACCAGACAGGCAGCCCAAGCACCUCGUGUGCGCAUGGGUGUGCCCAACGCCCCUCCAGCUUGGCGCUUGGGUCCUGCAGGCUACAACCUCCACACAUGCCCCUACCAACAGUGCAGUCCACAAUGAAAAUACUCACAAUCUACAUUACCCGUGCUACAACAUAGAACAAUGUAAUCCAUAAUAAAUUCACUGAGAAUAAAUAAUAUUCAGUAUUAUAAUAAAACACUGAUAAAUUUAAGUCACAGUUAAUAAAAUCUCAAAGGUCAACAAUAUAGAUUUAUUUUCUAUCAAGAUUAAUUGACUAGUAGAUUGUAACAGGAGCGUGGCGUUCACGAAAGCAGUUCUCUUGGCAGUCAAGAACAGAACGCAUUUCAGUUUGCAGCACAAGCCACUCCAGAGAGAUAAAUUACUUUGGAUUUUGACGUUGAUGAAUUUUUGAGUUUUAGUAGUCUUCUACUAUAAACUCACACUAGUUUAGAUAAAUUAUAUGCAUAUAAGUACAAUAGAUGCUUUUUAUCAUUAAAAACAAACACAGACGCCACUUAUUUUUUUUAAAUAUUUUAUGAUAAUUAUUAUCCUUUUCUAUUAUAUAUAUAACAUAGACCUAGAAUAGCACCCCAUAAUUCUACUGUUAAAGCAAGAAAAAUGCUUCAAGUUUGCCAGAAACUAGGGAUCCAUUAAUUUCCUAGCUACUGCAACCCUGAGGAAAAACGAAUAAACAUUCACAAACAAAGAAUAACAUAAACAAAAAUAAUUAUGGUGGUAAUUAGCAUCCAAUAGAAUAUUGAUAUAAUGGAAUCAGAUUUAAACAAGAGGAGAAAUAUCACACAAACAUAGGAGCAUCCGACUUGAUAAGCUAGUAGAGUACUUACAUCAAGAGCUAUCGUCCAACUAAACAAAAUCAACCUUAUCUUUUAUAAUAAUAAUAAUAAUAAUAAUAAUAAUAAUAAUCAUAAACCUGAUCAUUUAUUUCAACCGUGGGCAUAUUUGAGCCUGUAAUGGAUUUUUCAUCACUACUGUGAAUUCUUCCUUCUCAGACAAAUCAACAUCAUCUCCAUCCACAGCUUUCCACUCAAAUCUCCAAAUCAAAUUAGCUACAAAGUACUCCAAAUGAAGUAUUGCUAGACCAUAAGCAGGACAUAUUCUCCUCCCAGCCCCAAAUGGCAUCAUCUUUAUCUCUCUACUUCCUGUUAUAUCAAAUGUUUCCCCUCCACUACUUAGAAACCUUUCAGGCUUGAAUGCCAUAGGAUCCUCCCACACCUUCGGAUUCCACCCCAUCUCAGCCACCAUAAAAUUUAUAGUUCCAUCUUUUGGUACCACAUAUUUACCCAGCACUGCAUCUUCAGUCACCGCAUGUGGCAACACGAAAUGGCCUGGCGGGUGCCUCCUUAACCCUUCUAGAAUUAUUGCUUUUAGAUAUGGCAUCUUUUGCAAUUCCUCUUCUUUUAUAUUCUCUUCACCAUCUUGCACAACCCCUUUAAUCUCCAUGAAUAGCUUCUCUUGGAUUUGCGGGUACUUAACUAGAUUUGCCAUGAUCCAUUGCAACGCUGUUGAAGUAGUAUCUGUUCCUCCGUUGAGAAACUCUGAGCACAGACUGACCAUUUCCUCUUCAUUGAGCUUUCUUUUCUCUUCCGGAAGCUCCAAAGCCAGUAUGGUGUCAACAUAGCACAAAACAUACUCAUCUUCAUAGUCUUUCUUGUCCUCUUUACUUUUGUUUACCCUCUCUUCCUUGGCCUUCUUUCUUGCUCUUAUCAAUGGAAUCAAAACAUCUUCUUGGCACCUUCGAAGGGAAAACAACUCCCUCCAACGGUUGCGCAACACGAUCUUUGUCACUCCUGGCCAGAAAUUGAGUAUGUUGAACUUACUAAAAUUCACUAUCAUUUGUCGCUGAACUCCCAUAAUUUUUUUUAUCUGAUUUUCAUCAUGCUUGUCUCCAAAACACAUCAGGACUAAUAGACAAAACAUGGCAUAUUGAAAAUGUUCCAUUACACAAAUAGGACGACCGGCUUUCGCUUGAGAUUCGAAGCGAUUCUGGAGGAUUUGCAGAACCCAGUUGCGUGCACGAGUGUAAGAUUUCACACGCGAUGGGUGGAGGAUUUCUGCUGUGAGGUUACGCCUCAGAAGUCGCCAUGUUGGACCGUAAAAGGAAGAACUAAUAUUAUGCUGAUUACUAGUUAAAAAUUUUCUCGUAGCAACAGCUGGUGGGCGGUCCGCAAAAACUGCGCCGCCAUGUAUUAAAGCCUCAUGAGCAAGGGUG